rnacentral:rRNA from 1 species
UACGGGGGGGAGCAAGCGUUGUUCGGAUUUACUGGGCGUAAAGGGCGCGUAGGCGGUCAGCACAAGUCAGUUGUGAAAUCUCCGGGCUUAACUCGGAAAGGUCAACUGAUACUGUGCGACUAGAGUGCAGAAGGGGCAACUGGAAUUCUCGGUGUAGCGGUGAAAUGCGUAGAUAUCGAGAGGAACACCUGCGGCGAAGGCGGGUAGCUGGGCCGACACUGACGCUGAAGCGCGAAAGCUAGGGGAGCGAACGGG